rnacentral:rRNA from 1 species
CCUACGGGGGGCAGCAGUGGGGAAUCUUCCGCAAUGGGCGCAAGCCUGACGGAGCAAUGCCGCGUGAACGAAGAAGGUCUUCGGAUUGUAAAGUUCUGUCCUUAUCGAAGAGAGAGUAUAGAGUGAAAAAUGAUAUACUAGGACGGUAGAUGAGGAGGAAGCCCCGGCUAACUACGUGCCAGCAGCCGCGGUAAUACGUAGGGGGCAAGCGUUAUCCGGAAUUACUGGGUGUAAAGGGAGCGUAGACGGCAAUGCAAGUCCGGAGUGGAAUGCGGCAGCUCAACUGCCGAACUGCUCUGGAAACUGUAUGGCUUGAGUGCAGGAGGGGUAAGCGGAAUUCCUGGUGUAGCGGUGAAAUGCGUAGAUAUCAGGAGGAACACCGGUGGCGAAGGCGGCUUACUGGACUGUAACUGACGUUGAGGCUCGAAAGCGUGGGGAGCAAACAGGAUUAGAUACCCUAGUAGUC